rnacentral:lncRNA from 1 species
GCAGGGAGUGCACUCCUACAAAUUAAAAAGGCUCAUGCAUGAAGUUCUUCUAAGAAGACAAUGCAGAUAUCAUGUCUAAUUAUCUUUCAAGUUAAAAUUAAAUUAGUCUUGAAUGGCCCGGUUAUAUUGGUAUCAUUUGGAUUCUUUAAAAUAAAUUAUUAUAUUCUACAUCAUAUGCACCAUGUCACUAGUGCACCACAGGAACA